rnacentral:rRNA from 1 species
ACGCUGGCGGCGUGCCUAAUACAUGCAAGUCGAGCGAAGUUUUUCUGGUGCUUGCACCGGAAAAGCUUAGCGGCGAACGGGUGAGUAACACGUAAAGAACCUGCCUCAUAGACUGGGACAACUAUUGGAAACGAUAGCUAAUACCGGAUAACAGCAUUAACUGCAUGGUUGAUGUUUAAAAGUUGGUUUUGCUAACACUAUGAGAUGGCUUUGCGGUGCAUUAGCUAGUUGGUGGGGUAAAGGCCUACCAAGGCGACGAUGCAUAGCCGACCUGAGAGGGUGAUCGGCCACACUGGGACUGAGACACGGCCCAGACUCCUACGGGAGGCAGCAGUAGGGAAUCUUCCGCAAUGGGCGAAAGCCUGACGGAGCAACGCCGCGUGAGUGAAGAAGGAUUUCGGUUCGUAAAGCUCUGUUGUUAGGGAAGAAUGAUUGUGUAGUAACUAUACACAGUAGAGACGGUACCUAACCAGAAAGCCACGGCUAACUACGUGCCAGCAGCCGCGGUAAUACGUAGGUGGCAAGCGUUGUCCGGAAUUAUUGGGCGUAAAGCGCGCGCAGGUGGUUUAAUAAGUCUGAUGUGAAAGCCCACGGCUAACCGUGGAGGGUCAUUGGAAACUGUUAAACUUGAGUGCAGGAGAGAAAAGUGGAAUUCCUAGUGUAGCGGUGAAAUGCGUAGAGAUUAGGAGGAACACCAGUGGCGAAGGCGGCUUUUUGGCCUGUAACUGACACUGAGGCGCGAAAGCGUGGGGAGCAAACAGGAUUAGAUACCCUGGUAGUCCACGCCGUAAACGAUGAGUGCUAAGUGUUGGUCUCAUAAGAGAUCAGUGCUGCAGCUAACGCAUUAAGCACUCCGCCUGGGGAGUACGACCGCAAGGUUGAAACUCAAAGGAAUUGACGGGGACCCGC